GAUAAGGGAACCUCGAGUGCCAGGUUACAAAUCUGGCUGUCGAGAUGCCUAAAAAGCAUUUCAUAGCAAGGGCCGGGCAAGACCGGUGCCAGCCGCCGCGGUAACACCGGCGGCUCGAGUGGUAACCGUUAUUAUUGGGUCUAAAGGGUCUGUAGCCGGCCGGAUAAGUCUCUUGAGAAAUCUGGCAGCUUAACUGUCAGGCUUUCAGGAGAUACUGUCUGGCUCGAGGCCGGGAGAGGUGAGAGGUACUUCAGGGGUAGGGGUGAAAUCUUGUAAUCCUUGAAGGACCACCAGUGGCGAAGGCGUCUCACCAGAACGGACCUGACGGCAAGGGACGAAAGCUAGGGGCAC
rnacentral:rRNA from 1 species